GUAGGCAACGCUGGCGGCGUGCUAUACAUGCAGUCGAGCGGACAGAAGGGAGCUUGCUCCCGGAUGUUAGCGGCGGACGGGUGAGUAACACGUGGGUAACCUGCCUGUAAGACUGGGAUAACUCCGGGAAACCGGAGCUAAUACCGGAUAGUUCCUUGAACCGCAUGGUUCAAGGAUGAAAGACGGUUUCGGCUGUCACUUACAGAUGGACCCGCGGCGCAUUAGCUAGUUGGUGGGGUAAUGGCUCACCAAGGCGACGAUGCGUAGCCGACCUGAGAGGGUGAUCGGCCACACUGGGACUGAGACACGGCCCAGACUCCUACGGGAGGCAGCAGUAGGGAAUCUUCCGCAAUGGACGAAAGUCUGACGGAGCAACGCCGCGUGAGUGAUGAAGGUUUUCGGAUCGUAAAGCUCUGUUGUUAGGGAAGAACAAGUGCGAGAGUAACUGCUCGCACCUUGACGGUACCUAACCAGAAAGCCACGGCUAACUACGUGCCAGCAGCCGCGGUAAUACGUAGGUGGCAAGCGUUGUCCGAAAUUAUUGGGCGUAAAGGGCUCGCAGGGGGUUUCUUAAGUCUGAUGUGAAAGCCCCCGGCUCAACCGGGCAGGGUCAUUGGAAACUGGGAAACUUGAGUGCAGA
rnacentral:rRNA from 1 species